UACGAAGGGGGCUAGCGUUGUUCGGAAUUACUUGGCGUAAAGCGCACGUAGGCGGGUCGUUAAGUCAGGGGUGAAAUCCCAGAGCUCAACUCUGGAACUGCCUUUGAUACUGGCGACCUAGAGUUCGGAAGAGGUUAGUGGAAUUCCCAGUGUAGAGGUGAAAUUCGUAGAUAUUGGGAAGAACACCAGUGGCGAAGGCGGCUAACUGGUCCGAUACUGACGCUGAGGUGCGAAAGCUAGGGGAGCAAACGGG
rnacentral:rRNA from 1 species